ACUGAAUUCCCUAGCUUGUCUGUAGAAAUCUGGCUGUUCUCAGCAGGCUGGUUAGACUAAUGUACCUGCGUGGAUGUGAAGCUGCAGGUAAAACAUUAGCUUCAAUGAUCAUUGCAUAAAUCUGAAUAAAAGAGCACAUUUUCUGUCCUUGAAAUGACAUUAGCAGAAAAAGUAGACCUUUCUGUUGCUCUCAUCACGAAAUUACCUGCAGUCUUCAUAGACACCAAUGAGGUUAGCAUCAGACAGCACCUGGGAGACCAGAAAGAUAAGUGUCUUCAUUUUUCAGAUGACAAAAUGGAGUCCCAGCCUGCAGAAAUGGCUUCUUCCAGAUCAUAAAGGAUAAAAGAAGCUGAACAGAAAUCGAUCCCUAUGACAAUAUGAGUUGAAUUUCAUUAUUUAUUUUUUUCAAUUCAAUGCCUUCAACUUAACACUCUUUCUCAGAGGUAGAUGACACACAUAGCCAAUGUAAAUUGAUUUGACUCAACAUACAUAUUAGCUAUUAAUAACAUUUUAGAUCAAUAAAGAAAAAAAAUCUGUUGAUUGAAAAAGAAAAAAAAAAAGAAAAAGUAGUGAAAGUGAUACAAAAUUCAUUUUAACAUAUUUAAGAAUAUUUUUAUCUUGUUUAAUGUUCCAGCUAGAAGUUAAUAAAUGUCAUAUUGCUCAAAUAUGAUUUGAAUAGACUGUUAAUCUCUAUUUACCUGUUUUCAAACAUAUGUUAUCUUAUAUUUAUUGUGAUUCUGGCAUUUUGUUUCUCUAUAUUUACAGUAGAUUUAAAUCUUAAUUAUUCUUCUCUAUAGUAGACUUUGUUUGUUUGUUUGUUUUGUUAGUUUGUUUUUAUUUUUCUUCCUAUUUUUCCCCCCUACACAAGGAAAGAAAAAUAAUGGCCUAGAACAUGCAUGCAUAUGUUAGGUCGAAUCAAUAACUUUAGUCAAAUAAUUUCCUCUGGCCUUAAAAAGUGGUAUGGUUUCAGAUGUUGCCCAUGAAGGAUAAAAAAUUAAAAAUGAUCCAGAAAUAAUUAGUUGAGGAGAAAGACAAUGAAAUGACAACCUAGUGUUAACAAUUUUAUUUAUGGCACGUAAGUGUUAUACCAUCUCAUCCAGCAAAUGUAGUAAUCUAAGCAAAUUAUUCAUUAAGAAUGAAUCAGCACCAUUGUUGGGAAAGAAAAAAAAAAAAAAAAAAAAAAAGAUUUUAAUGACCAGUUGGUUUAAAGAAGGAUUCUGUGAAAGGAAUUGGUCAACUGCCAGAAGCUGUUUGCAAUGACAAAUUGCUCACAAUGAAUUGUUUAGAGAGAAAACACUACUUUUUGUUUAUGAAACAAAUCUGCAUGCCAGUCAGUUGUCUUUGAGUAUGAAGGAUGUUCGCUGUAAGGUCAUGAAUACAACAAUGGUUUGCCUUCCUUAGUACAUGCCGUUCAUUUCUCUUGAAGCCGUAACUGCCAAAUAGCAGUAAAAAGCAGUUAGCAACUCCAGAAUUGGUCGAGUUAUUGUCACAGAGAAAGGCUGUCUGGCAGGCUUUUCAUAUCCAUCUCUUUCUUCAUUGCCAAUCCUCCUAUAUUCAGUGGGUAAUCUGAAAAUAUCUGUGUGCAAUGACUUCUGGACAUUUUCAGGAAUUCUAAUGAUUGUGCUGGAUCAUUUAAAUUCAAUAGCCUGUCCUCCACAGCUGCAAAGUCUCUCUGAGUGUUUCAUUCAAACCAUCUAGCAAUGAAGUGAAGAAGCAAUAUGACUGCCAAUGUUCCCUUAGAGCUGCUAAAAAAUAACCAUUAAAAUUUGCUUUUAACGGUAUUACUUACAACACAGUAAUUUACUGAGAUAUGUGUUGUUCGCAGACAUUGCAAACACAGAUUGUUUGCACAAUAUUCAGUAAGGGCAAUCAAAUUAAUGGUUUUGCCAGCACAUGUUAUUGUAAAUGUACUCAAAAGACUGCAAUCAAUUUUCUUCAGAGCACAAAAUACAACCUAUGUCCAGUUGCGCAAUACCGUGUAACAUUUUAUUCUUGCCUACACAGAAAAAUUUCCAAGAGCCCAUGUUGCAUCUCCAGCAUUCUCAUCGUUGUCCUAGUCUAAAAAUAAUAUAUACCUGCCUGUUCUUUAAAGACAAUAUUUUCAUAUAUGGUAGAGCUUUAGUGCAGGAAAGUUGCUAUGGAAAUCUAUGAUUACAUUUUCAGGCUAAAAACCUUCCAGACAGCUCUGUGUCAUAUCAAACUUUGCAUUUCAUGCUGUAGCUGCUUACAAGUGUGUUAAUACAUAUCUGAUGGGCAAGGGGAAUGUUUUGCAGUAAAAUUAUCUAGAUAUUUUCCAGCAGAAGGGAAAGGUACUUUCUGUGGUCAGUGACCGAUGUUUCAACAAACAGAAUACCAUACCAGUGAACAAGAGAAAUGCAACUCUAAUGUAUUCAAAUGCUUUACACUAUAUAUAAAAAGGGAAAGAUCAUUGCAGCUGUAAUGGUUGUGAUAUGAAUUUGUGAGGGCUCACUCUGCAGUAGACUUUACUGAGCAUGAAAAUAGAGCACUAUAGCUUUCUAAGUUGUCUAUCUCCCCACAUUUUGUACAGAAAUGGGAGCUGGAUACUCCUGUACUGAUCAGCCAGUAGAGCUGUUCAAGCAUCACAAAAAGUAAAAUCAAUUCAGCACUAAAACAGGCCAAAACAGUCAGAUAUUAAUCUACAGCCAUUACCAAGCCAACUGGUGAAGUAACUACUUAUCAAGCAUUGAGUGCUUCAGCAAAGAAUCCACCAACACGGUUGUUGAAAAGUCAUAAUUCUGCUG